AUGGCUAUGGAGCAUGAUCAACCUCGUGAACGCAAAGACGAUGAGCAGUUCGUUUGGCCAUGGAAGGGUGUUCUUGUUAACGUGCCUACCGAAUGGAAGAACGGGCGCCGCGUCGGAGAACAAGGAAACCACUUGAGGGAUCAGCUCUCGCAAUUUUGCGCACGAAAGGUUAUUCCUUUGUGGGACAAACGCAGCGGCCAUACUAGGAGUGCCAUUGUGGAGUUCACAAAAGACUGGAGUGGUUUCAAAAAUGCCAUGGACUUUGAAUAUCACUUUGAGACACGAGGAUGUGGCAAAAGGCAUGGGAAGGGGCAGCAUUACCAUGGGCCAGAGAUGUUUGGUUGGGUUGCCAGAGCAGAUGAUCACAGAUCGUACACUCCUAUUGGUUACUGGUUGCGCAACUACACUGAUCUAAAAACCAUUGCUGAUCUUAAGAAUGAAGAAGAGCGUAAAACUGGCAAACUUGAAGAAAGCCUAGACAAACGGGUUGAGGCAAUGGACAGGGAUGUGCAAGAGCUUCAACACGAGAACAAUCGAAUGACUCAGUUGCUUGGUAAGGCAGAGGAGGAUCUGAAGAAGCUCCUCCAGUCUCAAACUGAAGAAAUUGACAAAAUACAGCUUGAUGCGCUAGAGAAGGAAGAGAAUGCUAUGAUGGAGCGAGUGAGGGCCACUGAAAUUUUGCUGAAGCUUGAGGAAGAGCAUCAGAGGGAGACAAAACUCACUCUAAAUAAGGAUCUUGAGUUACGAAAGCUAAUGCUUGACAAGCAGGCUCUCGAGAUAGAACUCAAACAGCUAGAGGGUGAAUUGGAAGUAAUGGAGAUUAUGCCAGGUGAGGAAAUUUCGAAGAAGAAGAGAAUAGAUGAACUUCGUGAGACUCUAAAAGAGAAGUAUGAGAGUAAGGAAGAUAUGGAAUCACUUCAGAAGAUCCUUAUUGCCAAGCAAACAGCACACACCAGUGAGUUGCGACCUGCUAGGAAGAAGCUAAUAGAUGGCUUCCUGGAUCUUACAAAGGGUCGAGGAAAUAUAGGCAUCAAAAGAAUAGGAAAACUUGAAGAAAAGGCGUUUUUAAAUGCUGGCAAAAAACAGUUACCAGAAGACGAUGCAGAAUUUGCAGCUACCAUUCUUUAUUCAGAGUGGGAGGCUCAGAUUGAAAAUUGGGCUGCCACGGUUCAUGGAAAAAACACGGAAAUGAUCUCCAAGGACAAUGAGAAGCUCCGGGAACUAAAAGAAAAGCAUGGUGAUGAAAUCUACACUUUGGUAACAAAGGCGCUGGAUGAAAUCAACGAGUACAAGCCUUUUGCCGAAGAACAAGGUGGAGAAAUCUUUGGUGUACCUGAGUUGUGGAACUACAAGGCGGACCGGCGAGCAACCAUGUACAGGCAGGUAAAGCUGUACGUGCAGCUUCACGAAAACCAUCCUGCUUACAGGACUACAUGGGAUCUAUCAGGCAAAAAAGAUCUAUCUUCUAGUGGUUGGCUCUCGUCUUGGGCGCCUAUCUUUGUCAUUUUUCAUUUUUGCACCCCCCUUGCUAGUCUUGAGAAAAAGCAAGAAAAGCUAGAUGAUUGA
rnacentral:rRNA from 1 species